rnacentral:rRNA from 1 species
GUGGGGAAUCUUGCGCAAUGGGCGAAAGCCUGACGCAGCCAUGCCACGUGAAUGAUGAAGGUCUUAGGAUUGUAAAAUUCUUUCACCGGGGACGAUAAUGACGGUACCCGGAGAAGAAGCUCCGGCUAACUUCGUGCCAGCAGCCGCGGUAAUACGAAGGGGGCUAGCGUUGCUCGGAAUUACUGGGCGUAAAGGGCGCGUAGGCGGACAGCUUAGUCAGAGGUGAAAGCCCAGGGCUCAACCUUGGAAGUGCCUUUGAUACUGGCUGUCUUGAGUUUGGGAGAGGUGAGUGGAACUCCGAGUGUAGAGGUGAAAUUCGUAGAUAUUCGGAAGAACACCAGUGGCGAAGGCGACUCACUGGCCCAAUACUGACGCUGAGGCGCGAAAGCGUGGGGAGCAAACAGGAUUAGAAACCCUUGUAGUCC